rnacentral:piRNA from 1 species
UCCAUUAACAGCAAUUUUUUA